GUUAAAGAGCCUUAGUCCCAAGAGAGAGCCCUGAGGAUCACCACUUGUCACCAGCAUCCACCUGGACUGCACCUCUCUGGCUGCAUCCAUCCAGCCACUUCAUCCACUGAAUAGUCCACUCUUCAAAUCAACAGCUCCCCAGUUGGGAGAUUAGGGUGUUGCAUGGGACUGUGUCCAAGGCCUUACAGAAGGAUGGAUAGAUAACUUGGGUCAGUUUUCCCUCAUGGACUGUUGCAGUCACUCCAUGAUGGAAAGCCAACAGGAGGUAAUUCUUUCAGAAUAUACCACCUCUUUCCUACAUCUGUUCCACAACCUGCGUUUGUCCCAUAAUUGCAGCUGUGUCCAAAAUACAAGAAUCACUCCACCUGCAUUAAAAAUUAUUUCACAGUUUCUGGUCAGAAAGUGUGUAUCAGGAGAGGCUC